UGCAGUCGAACGAUGAACCGCUUUCGGGCGGGGAUUAGUGGCGAACGGGUGAGUAACACGUGGGCAAUCUGCCCUGCACUCUGGGACAAGCCCUGGAAACGGGGUCUAAUACCGGAUAUGACUGUCCAUCGCAUGGUGGAUGGUGUAAAGCUCCGGCGGUGCAGGAUGAGCCCGCGGCCUAUCAGCUUGUUGGUGAGGUAGUGGCUCACCAAGGCGACGACGGGUAGCCGGCCUGAGAGGGCGACCGGCCACACUGGGACUGAGACACGGCCCAGACUCCUACGGGAGGCAGCAGUGGGGAAUAUUGCACAAUGGGCGAAAGCCUGAUGCAGCGACGCCGCGUGAGGGAUGACGGCCUUCGGGUUGUAAACCUCUUUCAGCAGGGAAGAAGCGAAAGUGACGGUACCUGCAGAAGAAGCGCCGGCUAACUACGUGCCAGCAGCCGCGGUAAUACGUAGGGCGCAAGCGUUGUCCGGAAUUAUUGGGCGUAAAGAGCUCGUAGGCGGCUUGUCACGUCGGUUGUGAAAGCCCGGGGCUUAACCCCGGGUCUGCAGUCGAUACGGGCAGGCUAGAGUUCGGUAGGGGAGAUCGGAAUUCCUGGUGUAGCGGUGAAAUGCGCAGAUAUCAGGAGGAACACCGGUGGCGAAGGCGGAUCUCUGGGCCGAUACUGACGCUGAGGAGCGAAAGCGUGGGGAGCGAACAGGAUUAGAUACCCUGGUAGUCCACGCCGU
rnacentral:rRNA from 1 species